AGAGUUUGAUCCUGGCUCAGAACGAACGCUGGCGGCGUGCUUAACACAUGCAAGUCGAGUGCGCGCCUGUAGCAAUACAGGUGGCGCACGGCGCACGGGUGCGUAACACGUGGGUAACCUGCCCUUUAGUGGGGAAUAACCUCGCGAAAGCGAGGCUAAUUCCGCAUAAGAUCCGCAAGGAUGAAAGCCGUAAGGCGCUGAUGGAGGGGCCCGCGCACGAUUAGCUAGUUGGUGAGGUAAUGGCUCACCAAGGCUAUGAUCGUUAGCUGGUCUGAGAGGAUGGCCAGCCACACUGGAACUGAGACACGGUCCAGACUCCUACGGGAGGCAGCAGUGGGGAAUCUUGCACAAUGGGCGAAAGCCUGAUGCAGCGACGCCGCGUGGGGGAUGAAGCUUCUCGGAGUGUAAACCCCUUUCGACCCGGACGAAUACCUCGCAAGAGGGGUGACGGUACGGGUAUAAGAAGCCCCGGCUAACUACGUGCCAGCAGCCGCGGUAAGAAGUAGGGGGCCCAGCGUUGUUCGGAAUAACUGGGGUGUAAAGGGUUUCGUAAGCGGUGUGGCCAGUCCGGGAGUGAAAUUUCUGGGCUCAACCCAAGAGGGUUGCUUUCCGAAAAUGCUGGUGCAUUUGGAGUGUGGGAGAGGCGCGUGGAGUUGCAGGUGUAGCGGUGGAAUGCGUAGAUAUCUGCAGGAACACCCGUGGCGAAAGCGGCGCGCUGGACCACUACUGACGCUGAGGAACGAAAGCUAGGGGAGCAAACAGGAUUAGAUACCCUGGUAGUCCUAGCCCUAAACGAUCAGGACUUGGGGUGCCACCCGUUCGGGCGUCGUCCCGGAGCUAACGCGUUAAGUCCUGCACCUGGGGAGUACGGUCGCAAGACUGAAACUCAAAGGAAUUGACGGGGGCCCGCACAAGCGGUGGAACAUGUGGUUCAAUUCGACGCUACGCGAGGAACCUUACCUGGGCUCGAAAUGCUUCUGACAAGCUGUAGAAAUACGGCCUUCCCGCAAGGGACAGGAGUAUAGGCGCUGCAUGGCUGUCGUCAGCUCGUGCCGUGAGGUGUUGGGUUAAGUCCCGCAACGAGCGCAACCCA
rnacentral:rRNA from 1 species